UGACAUGGGCAAAAGACAGCUCAUGAAUCUGCUUCUUCUUGGUGCCAUUUCACUCCCCUCUGCUGGAAUGCUUAUUCCCUACACCUACUUUUUUGUCCCUCCAGGGUAGGUUUUUGUUUUCCUACACAAUUAUACUUAUCAUCACAUUAAUUAGUUCUUACAUCUUCACAAAUUUUGGUCGUCAAAUUAGUCCUUAAGAGAUGCAAAAUGUCAUUGCCUUUGUCCUUGAACGAUUUUAUCAUCAGAUUACUUCGUUAUAGGUUUAAUUUGUCACUAAACUUGCUCUUCGAUUUUAUUAUGGAGUAAAUAAUUUAUGCAAUAUAGUAUACUGUAAUUUAAUCACAAACCACCAUGUAUGAUAACUUUAUUGAUUUUUACAAUAACUACUUCAACUGUAAUACCGACAAUGAUUUUUGAUCAGUUGAUAGUAUAUAGAAAUUAAACUCCUUAUUUUGUGUCAUCACUUCCUUAAGGAUGAAUGUGGUGACAUUUGAGAUCUAUAAGUGACAAAUGUGGUGACAGAAUUUUUAAAAAACUAACAUGGCAGCAUUUUAAAUCACUAAGGAACUAAUGAACUAACUAAAAUUUAAGAAGGGCUAAUGUUGUGUCGUGUGUAACUUUGGAGAAGUAAUUACUCCAGUAGCAUGAAUUCCCCAAAACAUAAAAUAACAGGUGUUGAUAGUGCUCAUGUACUAAUAGGAUCAGCUUUAGGGGAUGCCUUAAUUUGAUGGUGCUUCCAUGAGAAGCUUUUCUCUUGAACGUUGAAUAAUUACCUUCUGCUUUGCUAGAUGUGCAGCCUCUUUUUCAAUAGUUGUACUAUUACUUGAAGCUAAUUCAUACAUAUUACUUUUGGUAUUAUUAUUAUCAUUGUAAUGAUUUUUGUAGUGGGAGGGAAAGAAGCGAUGAAAGUUAAAAAUUUGCACAUUCCUGACAUUGGGGGAGGAGUACUGAAUUGAUUAUUUCUUAAUGUUUUGAAUUUUGCCUCAAUUCUUUAGUUUUGCAUUCUAGUCACAUUAGUUUAAAAGCUAUCUUCUGAACUUAAACUAUCAGUUGAUUCGAAGAGGAACAUAUAAAUUGCAUUGAAAGGGAAGAAAAUCUAUCAUAUUGCUCAUUACUUGUUGCAUUUAGCACCCAAAAGUUUGAUAAUUAACUCUUAACCUUCCAAUGUGUUGCUUUUUAUUAUUCAAUCCCAGUUUCUUCAUCUAUACAAAUCAUUAACCUGACUGGGGAAAAAAUUACAGUUCAGGUUCUUCAGCUGGUGGUACUGUUGCCAAGGAUGCUGUUGGAAAUGAUGUAAUUGCAGAGAAUUGGCUCAAGGCACAUGGACCUGGUGACCGAACCCUUGCACAAGGAUUGAAGGUAAGUGUACCGCUGUUUAGUUAGUGUACUCAUAGAUCUUCAACAAGUUGCAGAUGCUUUACAUGUAAUAUUGAAAGCAAUAGCUUCCCUAGACUGCUUUGGCAUCAUUUCUCAUUGCUUCUUUUCUUCAAUUAUUAGACCUCUUCUCUUUCCUCAACAAAUUUAUCUUGCUACACUCUGCCCAUUUUAUCCAGUGGCAGUGUUAGAGAAAUUUAAACUGUAGUUCUAGUUACAAAAACCAAAGGUUUGGCUUUGUAGAAGUGGAAAUGAUUUCCUUCUCACCUUCCAACCAUAAUAACUAUUUUCAUAAUUCUACAAUUUGAAUCCACCCCCCUUUAUUUACAG
rnacentral:lncRNA from 1 species